rnacentral:rRNA from 1 species
GGAAGUAAAAGUCGUAACAAGGUCUCCGUUGGUGAACCAGCGGAGGGAUCAUUACUGAGUUUACGCUCUAUAACCCUUUGUGAACAUACCUAUAACUGUUGCUUCGGCGGGUAGGGUCUCCGCGACCCUCCCGGCCUCCCGCCUCCGGGCGGGUCGGCGCCCGCCGGAGGAUAACCAAACUCUGAUUUAACGACGUUUCUUCUGAGUGGUACAAGCAAAUAAUCAAAACUUUUAACAACGGAUCUCUUGGUUCUGGCAUCGAUGAAGAACGCAGCGAAAUGCGAUAAGUAAUGUGAAUUGCAGAAUUCAGUGAAUCAUCGAAUCUUUGAACGCACAUUGCGCCCGCCAGCAUUCUGGCGGGCAUGCCUGUUCGAGCGUCAUUUCAACCCUCAAGCUCUGCUUGGUGUUGGGGCCCUACAGCUGAUGUAGGCCCUCAAAGGUAGUGGCGGACCCUCCCGGAGCCUCCUUUGCGUAGUAACUUUACGUCUCGCACUGGGAUCCGGAGGGACUCUUGCCGUAAAACCCGCCAAUUUUCCAAAGGUUGACCUCGGAUCAGGUAGGAAUACCCGCUGAACUUAAGCAUAUCAAUAAGCGGAGGA